UUUCCGUAGGUGAACCUGCGGAAGGAUCAUUAGUGAAUUGAAUAUGUUAGCCGACCUCUUCGGAGUCCCUAUCACCAAAUCAUAUCCAUAACACCUGUGAACUGUAAGGCUGUCUGGAACACGAAACUGAUUAGAGCGCCUACCCCUUUUAAACAAACAUUAAAGUAACACACGUAUUCUUAUUAUAAUCUAAUAAAACUUUCAACAACGGAUCUCUUGGCUCUC
rnacentral:misc_RNA from 1 species